rnacentral:rRNA from 1 species
UACGUAGGGGGCAAGCGUUGUCCGGAAUUAUUGGGCGUAAAGAGCGCGUAGGCGGUCCGAUAAGUCGGCUGUGAAAGUCAGGGGCUCAACCCUUGAAAGCCGGCCGAUACUGUCGGACUAGAGUCCGGAAGAGGCAAGUGGAAUUCCCGGUGUAGCGGUGAAAUGCGCAGAUAUCGGGAGGAACACCUGCGGCGAAGGCGGGUUGCUGGGCUGACACUGACGCUGAUGCGCGAAAGCCAGGGGAGCGAACGGG